rnacentral:rRNA from 1 species
UACGUAGGCAGCGAGCGUUGUUCGGAAUUACUGGGCGUAAAGAGUGUGUAGGCGGUGCUCUAAGUUCGGUGUGAAAUCUCCUGGCUCAACUAGGAGGGUGCGCCGGAAACUGGAGUGCUUGAGCGUGGGAGAGGAAAGCGGAAUUCCUGGUGUAGCGGUGAAAUGCGUAGAUAUCAGGAGGAACACCUGUGGUGUAGACGGCUUUCUGGACCAUAGCUGACGCUGAGACACGAAAGCGUGGGUAGCAAACAGG